rnacentral:rRNA from 1 species
GUAGGGAAUUUUCCACAAUGGGCGAAAGCCUGAUGGAGCAACGCCGCGUGAACGAUGAAGGUCUUCGGAUUGUAAAGUUCUGUUGUCAGGGACGAAUAAGUACCGUUCGAACAGGGCGGUACCUUGACGGUACCUGACGAGAAAGCCCCGGCUAACUACGUGCCAGCAGCCGCGGUAAUACGUAGGGGGCAAGCGUUGUCCGGAAUUAUUGGGCGUAAAGCGCGCGCAGGCGGUCGGGUAAGUCUGAUGUUAAAGCCCGGGGCUCAACCCCGGUUCGCAUUGGAAACUGCUCGACUUGAGUGCAGAAGAGGAAAGCGGAAUUCCACGUGUAGCGGUGAAAUGCGUAGAGAUGUGGAGGAACACCAGUGGCGAAGGCGGCUUUCUGGUCUGUAACUGACGCUGAGGCGCGAAAGCGUGGGGAGCAAACAGGAUUAGAAACCCCAGUAGUCC